rnacentral:rRNA from 1 species
CAGCAGCCACGGGAAUACGUAGGGCGCAAGCGUUAUCCGGAAUUAUUGGGCGUAAAGAGCUCGUAGGCGGUUUGUCGCGUCUGCCGUGAAAGUCCGGGGCUCAACCCCGGAUCUGCGGUGGGUACGGGCAGACUAGAGUGAUGUAGGAGAGACUGGAAUUCCUGGUGUAGCGGUGAAAUGCGCAGAUAUCAGGAGGAACACCGAUGGCGAAGGCAGGUCUCUGGGCAUUAACGGACGCUGAGGAGCGAAAGCAUGGGGAGCGAACAGGAUUAGAUACCCCCGUAGUCCCUGUCUCUUAUAC